AAUACAUGCAAGUCGAGCGAACAGACGAGGAGCUUGCUCCUCUGACGUUAGCGGCGGACGGGUGAGUAACACGUGGAUAACCUACCUAUAAGACUGGGAUAACUUCGGGAAACCGGAGCUAAUACCGGAUAAUAUAUUGAACCGCAUGGUUCAAUAGUGAAAGACGGUUUUGCUGUCACUUAUAGAUGGAUCCGCGCCGCAUUAGCUAGUUGGUAAGGUAACGGCUUACCAGGGCAACGAUGCGUAGCCGACCUGAGAGGGUGAUCGGCCACACUGGAACUGAGACACGGUCCAGACUCCUACGGGAGGCAGCAGUAGGGAAUCUUCCGCAAUGGGCGAAAGCCUGACGGAGCAACGCCGCGUGAGUGAUGAAGGUCUUCGGAUCGUAAAACUCUGUUAUUAGGGAAGAACAAAUGUGUAAGUAACUAUGCACGUCUUGACGGUACCUAAUCAGAAAGCCACGGCUAACUACGUGCCAGCAGCCGCGGUAAUACGUAGGUGGCAAGCGUUAUCCGGAAUUAUUGGGCGUAAAGCGCGCGUAGGCGGUUUUUUAAGUCUGAUGUGAAAGCCCACGGCUCAACCGUGGAGGGUCAUUGGAAACUGGAAAACUUGAGUGCAGAAGAGGAAAGUGGAAUUCCAUGUGUAGCGGUGAAAUGCGCAGAGAUAUGGAGGAACACCAGUGGCGAAGGCGACUUUCUGGUCUGUAACUGACGCUGAUGUGCGAAAGCGUGGGGAUCAAACAGGAUUAGAUACCCUGGUAGUCCACGCCGUAAACGAUGAGUGCUAAGUGUUA
rnacentral:rRNA from 1 species